CUACGGGCGGCUGCAGUGGGGAAUAUUGCACAAUGGGCGCAAGCCUGAUGCAGCCAUGCCGCGUGUAUGAAGAAGGCCUUCGGGUUGUAAAGUACUUUCAGCGGGGAGGAAGGGAGUAAAGUUAAUACCUUUGCUCAUUGACGUUACCCGCAGAAGAAGCACCGGCUAACUCCGUGCCAGCAGCCGCGGUAAUACGGAGGGUGCAAGCGUUAAUCGGAAUUACUGGGCGUAAAGCGCACGCAGGCGGUUUGUUAAGUCAGAUGUGAAAUCCCCGGGCUCAACCUGGGAACUGCAUCUGAUACUGGCAAGCUUGAGUCUCGUAGAGGGGGGUAGAAUUCCAGGUGUAGCGGUGAAAUGCGUAGAGAUCUGGAGGAAUACCGGUGGCGAAGGCGGCCCCCUGGACGAAGACUGACGCUCAGGUGCGAAAGCGUGGGGAGCAAACAGGAUUAGAUACCCGAUAGUC
rnacentral:rRNA from 1 species